rnacentral:rRNA from 1 species
UACGGAGGGGGCUAGCGUUGUUCGGAAUUACUGGGCGUAAAGCGCACGUAGGCGGCUUUGUAAGUUAGAGGUGAAAGCCCGGGGCUCAACUCCGGAAUUGCCUUUAAGACUGCAUCGCUAGAAUUGUGGAGAGGUAAGUGGAAUUCCGAGUGUAAAGGUGAAAUUCGUAGAUAUUCGGAAGAACACCAGUGGCGAAGGCGACUUACUGGACACAUAUUGACGCUGAGGUGCGAAAGCGUGGGGAGCAAACAGG